rnacentral:rRNA from 1 species
UACGGAGGGAGCUAGCGUUGUUCGGAAUUACUGGGCGUAAAGCGCACGUAGGCGGCUUUGUAAGUUAGAGGUGAAAGCCCGGGGCUCAACCCCGGAAUUGCCUUUAAGACUGCAUCGCUCGAAUCCGGGAGAGGUGAGUGGAAUUCCGAGUGUAGAGGUGAAGUUCGUAGAUAUUCGGAAGAACACCAGUGGCGAAGGCGGCUCACUGGACCGGUAUUGACGCUGAGGUGCGAAAGCGUGGGGAGCAAACAGG